AAGACACUAGUAAAAUUAUUACCUCUCCUUGUCGAGGGGAUAUUGUAGGUUAAAACCCUUCGUGCCUUA
rnacentral:tRNA from 1 species